CUUGACCAGAUACAAUCUUUAACUGAAUACGAAGCUAUUCCUGCAGUUGGAGUUUUCUUUAAUUUCUCUCUCACUGUCCUCAAUCAAGAGGUUGGGAAAUAUCGGUUUCAGAAAUUUGAACUCACCAGUUCUAGGGACUCCGGUCAGACAGACGUCAUACUGGUAGCUCUGGGACAGGGUCCCCGCGCCGCUGACGUCCACCAGGUGGCCCGGAAAGUGGCCCUCGGGCACCGCGCAGCCACCCCCCGACGCCGCCCCGCUCCUCCUGCACAGCCGCACCGCCACGAACGCCAGCGCCGAGCACAGGAAGAGCGACGACACGGACGCCAAGGCGAUGACCAGGUAGACGGUGAGCGGGUCGGCCCGGGCCUCGGCCGCCGCCACGUCCGGCAGCGGCAGGUAGGGCUGCGAGAAGCCGUCCACCAGCAGCACGUGCAGCGUGACGCUGGCCGACAGCGGCGGCUCGCCAUUGUCCUUGACCAGCACCAGCAGCCUGUGCCUGACGGCGUCGCGCUCGCUCAGCAGCCGGGCCGUGCGCACCUCGCCGUUGUGCGCCCACACGCCGAACAGCCCGGGCUCCGUGGCCUUGAGCAGCUGGAACGACAGCCAGGCGUUCUGGCCCGAGUCGCCGUCCACCGCCACCACCUUGGUCACCAGGUAGCCCGCCUCGGCCGCCCGCGGCACCAGCUCGGUGCAGGGCGCAGAGCCGUUCUGCAGCGGGUACAGCACGAAGGGCGCGUUGUCGUUGUCGUCCAGCACCAGCACGCGCACCAGCGCCUGGCUGCUCAGCGCGGGCGAGCCGCGGUCGGCCGCGCCCACGCGGACCUCGAAGGCCUGCAGCGCCUCGUAGUCCAGGGACCUGAGCGCGAACAGCUGCCCGUUGUCCGCGUUGAUGGACACCAGCGAGGCGAGCGGCAGGUGCGGGUCCCGGGGCGGCAGCAGCGAGUAGGUGACCUGGGCGUUGGCGCCCGCGUCUCUGUCGGUGGCGCUCACGGUGCCGAUGUGCAGGGCGGGGCUGUUGUUCUCGCGGACGCGCAGGGUGUAGGUGGUCUGGCUGAAGGCGGGGGCGUUGUCGUUGACGUCGGAGACCGUCACGGUGCCGAUGUGCAGGGCGGGGCUGUUGUUCUCGCGGACGCGCAGGGUGUAGGUGGUCUGGCUGAAGGCGGGGGCGUUGUCGUUGACGUCGGAGACCGUCACGGUGAUGUUGUGCUGGGUCUUCAGCCUGGGGGUCCCCAGGUCACUGACGGUGAUGGUGAUGUUGUACUCCGCCUGGCUCUCUCUGUCCAGCGCCCCAUUUGUUACCAGGGUGUAAAAAUUCUCAACAGAAGGUUUAAGCAAGAAAGGAAGAUCAUCUUGAAUGGAACAAACCAUUCUUCCAUUGUCUCCCGAGUCAGGAUCUGA
rnacentral:lncRNA from 1 species